rnacentral:rRNA from 1 species
ACAGGGGGGGCAAGCGUUGUUCGGAAUUACUGGGCGUAAAGGGUUCGUAGGUGGCCAACUAAGUCAGAUGUGAAAUCCCUCAGCUUAACUGGGGAACUGCUUCUGAUACUGGUUGGCUUGAGUGCAGGAGAGGAAUGCGGAAUUCCAGGUGUAGCGGUGAAAUGCGUAGAUAUCUGGAGGAACACCGGUGGCGAAGGCGGCAUUCUGGACUGUAACUGACACUGAGGAACGAAAGCCAGGGGAGCAAACGGG